UACAGAGGGUGCGAGCGUUGUCCGGAAUCACUGGGCGUAAAGGGCGCGUAGGUGGCGACCCAAAGUCGAUGGUGAAAGCUCGCCGCUCAGCGGCGAGUCGGCCACUGAUACUGGGUUGCUCGAGCACUGUAGAGGCAGAUGGAAUUCCGGGUGUAGCGGUGGAAUGCGUAGAGAUCCGGAAGAACACCGGUGGCGAAGGCGGUCUGCUGGGCAGUUGCUGACACUGAGGCGCGACAGCGUGGGGAGCAAACAGGG
rnacentral:rRNA from 1 species